AAGCUCAGGCAGAACAUCAGAACAAGUCUGGAUUUUCCUUCCAGGCACAAGCAUAUGGUGAUCAAUCCACACAUUCCAUAAUCCCAGCAAUAAAAGAUUUUCAAACAGUUAUCAAAAUGGACCAGAGGUUGUUACUGAGAGUCAUCAUCGCUGAAGAUGAUAUAACAUUGUCAUCACCCACCACAACAUUAGACACUGAGGGCAGCACAGCAGACACUGAGAUCCUGUCGCCUGUAGGAGCAUCACCAUCGCUAAGACAACAGUGGCCAGAGUUCUUUGACAUACCCAAUUAGCACAUAUCAUAGAGAGACAGGUGUUUGCUGAGUUUAAUAGAAUUGCCAGUAAGAAUCUUGAGGGAGACUUCUUUGAGGCUCUGGACCAGUAUGCCCCACGUUUCAUUGAACUUUUCAAAACAAAAUAGGGAACUGUUGGCCAGAAACUCAGGGAGCUGAUGCAGCACAUGAGCUGGAUGACACCAGACGACACAGUACUUCGCUCUGUUGUCCUCAAAGGCAUUCCCAUUUUACUCGGUGAUGACUCCAGUGAAUUCUACAAGACCUGCUCUAAUAGCAUAAAUUGUAAUGCUGAAGAAUGUGUGUCUUUUAGGAUACAGAGAGAGACGAGGCCCUAGAAUGCAUCACUGUAGUCCUCACGAGGGUCAAAGCUCAGUGGACCUCCAGCCCAUCUCCACUGCCAUCAUUCUGGAGGGAGGUAUUCUCAUGGAUCAUGUUAAAAACUUGCCUCAGGCAGUUUGUCCUUUGUUUGGUCUUACAUAUGCAUUGCAUUUGGAUACCCAAAAUGCAUGGCAAAUACACUCAACUUCAUUCAGACUGUGAUGCUUGGACUGGUAAAGAAAAACCUCCCACCAAAACUGUUAACUC
rnacentral:lncRNA from 1 species